UGCGUAUGGUGCAAGCGUUAUCCGGAUUUACUGGGCGUAAAGGGAGCGCAGGCGGCGCGCCAAGUCUGAUGUGAAACCCCGGGGCUCAACCCCGGGCAUGCAUUGGAAACUGGCGGGCUGGAGUGCCGGAGAGGUAAGCGGAAUUCCUAGUGUAGCGGUGAAAUGCGUAGAUAUUAGGAGGAACACCAGUGGCGAAGGCGGCUUACUGGACGGCAACUGACGCUGAGGCUCGAAAGCGUGGGGAGCAAACAGG
rnacentral:rRNA from 1 species